AAUUUUCUGSCCCCGAAAUACAUUAGCAUGGGAUAAUGGAAUAGGACCCUGUCCUCCUAUUUUCAGUUGGUUUUGGCAGCGCGAGGASUAGGGUAAUGAUUAAUAGGGAUAGUUGGGGGCAUUAAUAUUUAAUUGUCAGAGGUGAAAUUCUUGGAUUUAUGAAAGAUUAACUUCUGCGAAAGCAUCUGCCAAGGAKGUUUUCAUUARUCAAGAACGAARGUUAGGGGAUCGAAGACGAUCRGAUACCGUCGUAGUCUUAACCAUARACGAUGCCGACCAGCGAUUAGGAGACGUUGAAUACAAARCACCACCAUCGGUGCGGUCGUCCUUGGCGUCGGUCUUUCGGGGCCGGCGCGGGGACGGCUUAGCCCGGUGGCACCGGUGAAUGACUCCCCUAGCAGCUUGUGAGAAMC
rnacentral:rRNA from 1 species